UAUGGUAUGCAGGCAAAAGCUCUGUAAUCUGGUCAGGUCAGAAAUGAAGCAGCCAUAUCAGAUAUUCUUUUGGGUUGCAUACCGAUUCA
rnacentral:SRP_RNA from 1 species